UGCAAGUCGAACGGUGAACCAGGAGCUUGCUCUUGGGGAUCAGUGGCGAACGGGUGAGUAACACGUGAGCAACCUGCCCCUGACUCUGGGAUAAGCGCUGGAAACGGCGUCUAAUACUGGAUACGAACCACGAAGGCAUCUUCAGUGGUUGGAAAGAUUUUUUGGUUGGGGAUGGGCUCGCGGCCUAUCAGCUUGUUGGUGAGGUAAUGGCUCACCAAGGCGUCGACGGGUAGCCGGCCUGAGAGGGUGACCGGCCACACUGGGACUGAGACACGGCCCAGACUCCUACGGGAGGCAGCAGUGGGGAAUAUUGCACAAUGGGCGGAAGCCUGAUGCAGCAACGCCGCGUGAGGGAUGACGGCCUUCGGGUUGUAAACCUCUUUUAGCAGGGAAGAAGCGAAAGUGACGGUACCUGCAGAAAAAGCGCCGGCUAACUACGUGCCAGCAGCCGCGGUAAUACGUAGGGCGCAAGCGUUAUCCGGAAUUAUUGGGCGUAAAGAGCUCGUAGGCGGUUUGUCGCGUCUGCUGUGAAAUCCCGAGGCUCAACCUCGGGCCUGCAGUGGGUACGGGCAGACUAGAGUGCGGUAGGGGAGAUUGGAAUUCCUGGUGUAGCGGUGGAAUGCGCAGAUAUCAGGAGGAACACCGAUGGCGAAGGCAGAUCUCUGGGCCGUAACUGACGCUGAGGAGCGAAAGGGUGGGGAGCAAACAGGCUUAGAUACCCUGGUAGUCCACCCCGUAAACGUUGGGAACUAGUUGUGGGGUCCAUUCCACGGAUUCCGUGACGCAGCUAACGCAUUAAGUUCCCCGCCUGGGGAGUACGGCCGCAAGGCUAAAACUCAAAGGAAUUGACGGGGACCCGCACAAGCGGCGGAGCAUGCGGAUUAAUUCGAUGCAACGCGAAGAACCUUACCAAGGCUUGACAUAUACGAGAACGGGCCAGAAAUGGUCAACUCUUUGGACACUCGUAAACAGGUGGUGCAGGGUUGUCGUCAGCUCGUGUCGGGGAAUGUUGGGUUAAGUCCCGCA
rnacentral:rRNA from 1 species